CGAAGCUAAUUCCCUGGCUCGGGCAGGCUUUGCUGCAUGCAUGGCUUCCAAGCCGACGCCUUGAGAGAUUUGUGUGACCGGAGUUAAUCAGUAGGCGAAUCGGUCCGGGGCUUUGCGAGACCACCAGUGCAGGCGGUGCAACGAUCGGUUAGUUCGUUGGUACCAGCGACCAAGACAUGCAGCUCUACAUCGUGGUCACCAGGCUGGCCUGCAUCGCCUUCUCCACUGCCGCGUUUGUGCUCGCCAUGGCUGCGCCGGUCAGCCGCCAGUUCUGGUUUGUCGUGCAUGCAAACUGAAGGGCAGUAUGCUGACGCUAAUGAGUUGGACCUCGAUGCGGAUCGUGUACCAGGCCAUUUGCUUCUACUUUGGAGCACUCAACCUUGAUUGCAUUGCCCCCAUCUUAUUCAAUGACUCGCUGGUGAUGCUCCUCGCAUAUGGCGCGAGCUGUGCUGGAACUGCAUCUGUUUUCUUCCUGCAUCACUUUCUGCACUGUCAGCGUCUGCCGUUGAUGACCUGCCCGAUGUACUUCGCUUCCUCGGUGCUAGGCCUCGUUGCCGUCUUGUUCAACGCCGCCACUACGCUUCGGUUGCUUUGGGCAAGGUGUUCUCGCCACCACGAGGACUAGGUUUCACACACUUGCAGUCUCUAUCCACCAUCCACGUAUGCGUAUGCCAGUAGUGGUUACCCUAAUUAAUUACGUGUGGUGCGUAUAUAUAGCAUCUGUUCUUCCCAGUGUGACCGACUGUAUCUCUUUGCAAAGACUGCUUCAUGAUUCAUGUA